GCAAACUUGGUCAUUUAGAGGAAGUAAAAGUCGUAACAAGGUUUCCGUAGGUGAACCUGCGGAAGGAUCAUUACAAAUCAUGGCGAACCUCGUGUUUCGCGAGGUUUUUGCGUCCAUAAAGUAUUUAAAACAUCCACUCUUUUAAAAAAUUUAUCUAAUGAUAAAAUAAAAUAAGAUCACUUUCAACAACGGAUCUCUUGGCUCUCUUAGAGGAAGUAAAAGUCGUAACAAGGUUUCCGUAGGUGAACCUGCGGAAGGAUCAUUACAAAUCAUGGCGAACCUCGUGUUUCGCGAGGUUUUUGCGUCCAUAAAGUAUUUAAAACAUCCACUCUUUUAAAAAAUUUAUCUAAUGAUAAAAUAAAAUAAGAUCACUUUCAACAACGGAUCUCUUGGCUCUCGCAUCGAUGAAGAACGCAGC
rnacentral:misc_RNA from 1 species